AGGAACAACCUUGGCCAGAGUCUAGGGAUUUUUGUUGGGCAGCUAUUGCUUUAGCAGCAGGUUCUGCAACAUCAUUAGGAGUUAAGUUCUUGAUCAUAGCCUCAUCUGUACUUGUAGCCAAAGGAGUAGGAGUCUCCAGGGGAAGUGAAUUUGAAUCAUGAAUGCCUCCUGAUAACUUAAAAGUUUAAGGUUUCCAUAGAUAACGUAGGUAUUCUUAUUACCUUUGCCCUGUGUCCCUUUCUUUGUACAGGGCCUGUAUGCAAGUUUCCGCAGGUCUGGGGUUUUAAUGAGAGAGAGGGAAAAGUUAAGGAGUAGGACAUGAUAGAGGGGGGUAGGUUGUUCCAAGGAAGGUAUUGGAAAUCAGGGAGAAGUUUAUGACAAACAGAACUUUAGCGUCACCAGAAUCGUGGCAAAUUCAACAGUCAUUUGGAAGUUGGAUUGCAAUGGCCUGGGAUAUGUAAACAAUGACAUUGUGAUUUUGAAGUCUCCAGCAUUUGCACAGGCCAAGGUGUCAGGUGGAACUUUCUGCAGUUGUGAAGUAUGUAUGCAAGGUUUUAUACCUUAUAAUUUGAUAGUGGUGUCAGUGGUAAAGACUUCUUGGUAGGAUUCUUUCCAUGAGUCUCACUUUUGCAAAAGCAAUCAAGUAAAAGAAUAACUGUCGGUAAAUGACAAAAGACUUAAAAAUAUCCAUUGCUAGGAGUUCCCAUUGUGGCUCAGUGGAAACGAAUCCAACUAGUAUCCACGAGGAUACGGGUUUGAUCUCUGACCUUGCUCAUGGGUUAAGGAUCCAGUGUUGCUGUGAGCUUGGUGUAGGUUGAAGAUGUGGCUGGGAUCCCAUGUUGCUGUGGCUGUGGUGUAGGGUGGCUGCUAUAGUUUCAAUUUGACCUCUAGCCUUGGAACCUCCAUAUGCCUCGGUUGCAGCCCUAAAAAGCAAACAAAUAAACAAAUACCCACCAAAAAACAAAACAACAACAACAAAAAAGCAAAAUAAAGAAAACUUUAACAUGUCUUGUCAAUUGGGACAAACAGUAAAUAUUCCUGUCAGUACUGGACAACCUGUUUGACUAAAGAAGCAUCUUCAAAGAGGGUGCAAAAUAUACUACUGUCUCAAGAUUCUAAGUUACUCCCAAAGAUAGCCUAGAUGAUGAAAGAAAGACCUAGACAUUUCUCAUGACACUAAAAGAGACAUACAAGAGGGUAAUAGCUGUGCCUAACAGAGAAAGGAUUAAUAACCAAUGGGUCUGGAUUUGGGAAAGAAGGGCCAAUGUGAAAUUUUACCUUCCUCUCUUAACUAGGCAUGGCUAAAAGAUACUGAGGAGAGCUGACUCUGACAAGAAUUCUUUUCUCUUUGGCAGCUUCUGCCAGAUUUCCCAGGAUUCCAUCUCUACACUUCAGAGUACGGGUUAGAGUAGAGAGUGUACCUUAGGUAUCUACCAGAAUUUAGCAAGGUUUUCCAUUAAUUUUUUUGGCCACACUCAUGGUAUGUGGAAAUUCCUGCACCAGGGAUUGAACCUGAGCCACAACAGUGUCAACAUCAAAUCCUUAACUGGUGGGCUGUCAGGGAAAUCUGGUUUUCCAUUCAUUUUAGUUUCCUGUUGGCUGCUUAAGGAACCAGGAAAAUCCCUCAAUCUUGUCAACCCUGGGAGAGGCCUGUGUGGGGGCCCUUCUUUGAGGAUGAAUAUGAGGGUAUCUUUAAGGCCACUAACUUGGGAGACUUGUCUAUGGUCUUGUAGUUUCUUCAGAGUCGAAAGAUGAUUCAGACAGGGGAUUAAUAGAAUGAGUACUCAAGUAAAGUAGGAUAGAGGGGAGUAGUAGGAGUCAUAUGUCAGCCUUGUAGCCUUUUGUGUUAUGUACCUCUUUGUGUCUUUAAUGUUUCAUUAGCAUUUUACAAUGAAUCUUUCAAUGAAGCUGUUUUAGAAUCUUGAAGCCUUUGGAAGUAUUCUGCAUUCCAUUUAAAAUAGGUAUCCCAUUCUUUUUAUUUGCUGUGAGAGUCCUUGCUCUUUUUAUUUUGGCUGGGUCCAGGGCAUGCGGAAUUUCCCAGGCCAGGGAUGGAACCUGUGCCACAGCAGUAAAUUAACUUGCUAUGCCACCAGAGAACUCCUUGGAGUCCUUGCUUUCACCUGCCAGGUUUUUUUUUUUUUUGUUUUUUUUUGUUUUUUUGCUUUUUAGGGCCACACUUGCAGCAUAUGGAAGUUCCCAGACUAGGGGUUGAAUUGGAGCAACGGCUGCUGGCCUACACCACAGCCACAGUAACGUGGGAUCGGAGCUACAUCUGCAACCUACUCCACAGCUCACGGCAAUGCCGCAUCCCCAACUCACUGAUCAAGGCCAGGGAUUGAACCCGAAUCCUCAUGGAUGCUAGUUGGAUUAGUUUCCGUUGAGCCACAAUGGGGACUCCACAACUGCAAUUCUUAAAUGAAAAAUCUUGUUUAGUUGGAAUGUCUCCCUUAAUGGCCAUUGUAAUUCUAAGUUGUCUUAGGAAGACUUUGCCUUUUUUGUAGAUAGUAACAGCUUCCAGGACUCCAGAUAAACAAGCAGUUGUGCUAGAAAGUGUUGUGCUCAAUCCUUUGAAACCUGAGGCUCCCACUUCUUUAGCUAAGCUUUGGACCUUUUGGAGCCAAAUUAAUAUCUAAGAGGGAUGUGCUUCGGGUUGGGGAUUGUGUGAUGUUUUGCAGUCUAUCUUGUUGCACAGAAACUUUCUUGAGGUUGUCAAUCUAAUCCUUUCCACGACCAACUUAUUCUAGCAUAGGUGUCUUAGAGUUGAGUGCUCUAACAGUUCUUAAGUACCUGACCUGUCUGGUCAGUAUUGUCACUUUGACUUUUGAGAUUCCCAUUCACACUAGAUCUGUUAUUCUUUUACCUCAUGUGCAUAGUAUCAGAAACCAACAGUAACCAAGGAAAUGGAACUGUAGAUACCCAGUAGUAA
rnacentral:lncRNA from 1 species